GCUAAAAGCCACUGCUAACCCGGCAUUUUUUCGUCAGAUUCAACCGUCUCUCAUCUGUCAUAUCCCACGACUGCAGCGAUCAGCGUCGGCAGAUCGGGGAAGACCGCCCCGCCGGCCGAGCUCGGAUCCCCCAAAUCAACCAGCCCCAUGAGCACCUCGCUCUAUUCCCCCCUGAUUGCAGCGACCGGCGACGGCGGAAUGGAGGAAGCCGCCCCACCGGCCAAGCUCGGAUCCACGCAUCAACCCUGCCCGCCAGCACCCUGCUCCCUUUCCCCACCGAUUGCAGCGAACGGCGAAGGCUCAUGGAUGCCACAACCCGCUAUGGUUAAAGGGCCUGAACCUCCGGCUCUUGCUUUCUUUCCCCAAAAUAAAAGUUCAUAGGAAGGUCUCUGUGGUGUCCCAGCUCUAGAUCUAAGGGAUCACCAAGAUAAAUUUAAGGGAUUUGGGUGAGAAAAGCACCGAUGUGAGGUAGACGAUAGAGAGUAGGUGGAUCCUGCUAGGCUCACCGGUCCACCAUCCCCUGUCCCAGGGACCUGUGAUUGGUUGUCCGCAUCAGGACAUGGUGGAGGAGCGACAACCUUUUGCUCACUGAAGGUCGUAAUUGACGGUUUAGGUCCAACCUGCUGCUGAGCUAUAUCUUUUUUGAAAUAUUUUAAACUUUGCGUAUUGACAUCCUAUGAUAGGUGUGUGCAAAACUGCAGUAUUGAACAUGGUUUUGCAUUUGCUACAGCCUGCUAUGCUAAAAGGGCAGAACCUGAAUAUAUGCUACUGCUGAGAGAUUUCUUUUGCAGCCACGUGCUUGUAUGGCUACUCUUGCAUAUAGAAAAAAAUUAUAUGAUAACCCUCUGAUGGCUGUACCAUGCUGUAAUGAAAAAACUAGAUCCUCUUGAUUUUUGGAUGGUGUCAUAAUCAGAUGAACAUAAACACAUGAACUAAACUAUAAAAGGAGAACUAAGUACAAGCAGGAAGCAACACAUUCUUGUAUCCUUGUAUCCACAUGUCCGAAUAAACUAGCUUCUAUAUGCAACUACUUUGUCUAUGCCAAAACCUGAAUCCUAUAGCCUGCUUGUGGUUCUGCUGCCACAUAAAUAGUCCUUAACUAGUGUUGUCAAAACUGAAUAAAAACUGAGACUGCAUUGUAUAGCCCUAUACCAAUGUACUUUUCCCUCUACUACCAGAUAAAAUAGAACUAAACUUAAUCUGAAGCCCACAAGCAUUUUCAGUAGGCCCAGGACUUGAUAAAAGCUAAUACAUGGUAAACUUCAGUUUUUGUCUAUAUUCUGACAUACUCAACUGUGUAAAACCGCUGCUCCUACUUUACAAACAUACAACACCAUCCACCAAGCCUUUAUUUUGAAACAGUAUAGUAAACUUUCUAGUUUUCUAAACUAUGCCAGCAGCUACAGUAAUCGUAUAAUUUUUGUUAUUUCUCUGGUCUUGUUUUUCUUGGCUUGCUUCCUGCUUCUCCCUAAUCGUAUAAUUUUUGUUAUUUCUAACUACUUGUUGGUAGUGCUGCCUGUUUUCGAGUGUUUUACACAAUCUAGUUUCUUUUUGUCUACUACCAAUGUAAAGCCAACUUUUAACAGAUAAGUCAAUGUAAUCAGUUACGUUACAAGUCCAUAUGCUUACUCUUAGUGCAAGCAAGAUUAAAUGUUUUUCAUUAAUUUCACUUUAGCAAUUAUUUAUAUAAACAUUAGUGCAUCCUGUGUUUGCAUCCUAAGUUAACUACUUUAUUAUAUUAAUGUAAGCUCCAGGGAAGUACAUUUGCACAUGUAAAAUGGCUGCAUCUUUUAAGGUUUAUUUCCAAAAAAGUUGAAGCAUAAUUCAUUUAUCUACUGCUGAUAACAUAGGAUGGUAUGUCUUUUGGCAAUUCAUUAGGUUCACUCACUGUCAUCUUUUCUAGCUUCAGUUACUAAAAUCAUGCCACCAGUUCCGGAGGUUGAGAGGUAAAGUAGGGCAUAUCUUGUGAAACAGAAAUGCAAGGUCAAGGCGUAUUUGAAGUAAAGGAAUGUAAGGAUUGUGUAGCGCAAAGCUGCGGAGCAGCAACCUCUUAAAGAUACAAAGCAUAGCUCGUAGUCUUGUAUACCCUACUUCCUCUAGUGCGCAACCGACACAAUUGCUCGAGGUGUCGACGAUCCCAGUGACUCGGAGUAUGAACCAGAUGCUGAAGAGGAGGCCCAUGCAGAGGAAUAGGUUUUGAGAGAUGAAGAGGGGGUCGCUCUUACUAUGUCCAAAUUAAUGGCACCUCAAGAAAGAAUUGAACAGAAGGAUAGAGAGGCAAAAGUUGCAAUUGACAGAUGGAACACGAUGUUCUGCUUCGUCAAUUUAUGGGUGGCGGGAGGAGUUAGCGGAGAGACUUGAAGCACAAGAUAGAGCAUUUGAAGAGAUGUAGAGGAAGCAUCAAGAAGAAUUAAAAGCUACUCCCUCCGUUCCUUAAUGAACGGAGGGAGUAUUAAGAAGAGCCAACAAGAAAAGAAUUAAGCCUGUGAAAAGAAGCAACGGGAGAUGGAUAAACUGAUUGGUUUCCUCUUAAGGCUCAAGCAACUCAGCAAGCAAAUCUGUCAACCUGAUUGUGCAUGAAGGCCAUCCUUUCGUGAUAGACAGAUAGUUGCUAACUCAUAUACAUUGCAAUCAUGAGGACAACACAUGUGUUCUUUUAGUUAUCCAAAUAUUACUUUUCGUCUUGUCUAUUGUCGUGUCAAACUUGAGUAUGUGCUAUUUUUAUUGUUAUUUCUAUUUAGAGGAUGAUUCGGCUGAGAUGAUUGAAUAGAUAAUAUGAUUUGUUUUUCAUUUCAA